CCGAACCGGUUCGGAGACCGCCGCUGUUCGGUUCAUCCGUUCCUUCUUCGUUUCGAGUCGUUAAGAUUGUUGCGAAAAACAAGCGGAGCCGGGAUUUUGGUUGUUGAUUUCGGAUUGAGGCGGAAAGGACUCUGUGAGAUGUUUGGGUUAUGGAAUUUGCGUUUUGAGGAUAUGGGCGCAGAAGUUACGAAGAGCUUAUUUAAUUGUUGUUGUGAUACUCUGUAUUGUCUUAGUUAUGGUCUAUUGUACCCUCGCCUUUAUCUUGAUAUAAUCUGUAAGAGGGAUAGGAAUUGUAUUGGUUUAUGUUUGUAAUAUU